ACAAUGCUGAACAGUAUGCUAGCAACAGAGGGGAACAACAGAAUGUGGCAAUGGACCUUAUAAACAAGUAUGUCCAGUGGCAGGAGGGUGACCUUGUACUUGAUGUAGGGUGUGGCACAGGAGAGGUCACUAAGCUCAUGGCCAAACAGACAGGGGUCAAGGCUGUGGUGGGAUUUGACCUGUCAGAAAACUUUAUCCGUUUUGCUACAGACCACAAUUCUACGGAGAACACAUCAUUUUACGUUGCCGAUGUGUCCGAUCCCGG